UCGAACGAGAAAGGGGAGCAAUCCCUGAGUACAGUGGCGUACGGGUGAGUAACACGUGGAUGAUCUAUCUCUUAGUGGGGAAUAACCCUGGGAAACCGGGGAUAAUACCGCAUAAGCUCGAGAGAGGAAAGCAGCAAUGCGCUGAGAGAGGAGUCCGCGGCCGAUUAGCUAGUUGGCAGGGUAAAAGCCUACCAAGGCAGAGAUCGGUAGCCGGCCUGAGAGGGCACACGGCCACACUGGCACUGAAACACGGGCCAGACUCCUACGGGAGGCAGCAGUGGGGAAUCUUGCACAAUGGGGGCAACCCUGAUGCAGCGACGCCGCGUGAGCGAUGAAGCCCUUCGGGGUGUAAAGCUCUUUCGGCAGGGAAGAUAAUGACGGUACCUGCAGAAGCAGCUGCGGCUAACUACGUGCCAGCAGCCGCGGUAAUACGUAGGCAGCGAGCGUUGUUCGGAGUUACUGGGCGUAAAGGGUGUGUAGGCGGUUGUUUAAGUUUGGUGUGAAAUCUCCCGGCUCAACUGGGAGGGUGCGCCGAAUACUGAAUGACUUGGAGUGCGGGAGAGGAGAGUGGAAUUCCUGGUGUAGCGGUGAAAUGCGUAGAUAUCAGGAGGAACACCGGUGGGUGUAGACGGCUCUCUGGACCGUAACUGACGCUGAGACACGAAAGCGUGGGUAGCAAACAGGAUUAGAUACCCUGGUAGUCCACGCCC
rnacentral:rRNA from 1 species